rnacentral:tRNA from 1 species
GGGAGUGUGGCUCAGUGGUAGAGUGCUCGCCUUACACAUGGGAGGCACUGGGUUCGAUCCUCAGCACCACA